UGGGGAAUAUUGGACAAUGGGCGCAAGCCUGAUCCAGCCAUGCCGCGUGUGUGAAGAAGGCCUUUUGGUUGUAAAGCACUUUAAGCGAGGAGGCGUUACUCGCAGAAUAAGCACCGGCUAACUCUGUGCCAGCAGCCGCGGUAAUACAGAGGGUGCGAGCGUUAAUCGGAUUUACUGGGCGUAAAGCGUGCGUAGGCGGCUUCUUAAGUCGGAUGUGAAAUCCCUGAGCUUAACUUAGGAAUUGCAUUCGAUACUGGGAAGCUAGAGUAUGGGAGAGGAUGGUAGAAUUCCAGGUGUAGCGGUGAAAUGCGUAGAGAUCUGGAGGAAUACCGAUGGCGAAGGCAGCCAUCUGGCCUAAUACUGACGCUGAGGUACGAAAGCAUGGGGAGCAAACAGGAUUAGAUACCCGAGUAGU
rnacentral:rRNA from 1 species